rnacentral:rRNA from 1 species
AGAUUGAACGCUGGCGGCAUGCCUAACACAUGCAAGUCGAACGGGAGUAGCAAUACUCUAGUGGCGGACGGGUGAGGAAUACGUAGGAAUUUGCCCUUAAGUGGGGGAUAACCCGGGGAAACCCGGAUUAAUACCGCGAUGACCUCGAAAGAGCAAAGUGGGGGAUCGCAAGACCUCACGCUUUUGGAGAAGCCUACGUCGGAUUAGCUAGUUGGUGAGGUAAUGGCUCACCAAGGCGACGAUCCGUAACUGGUCUGAGAGGAUGACAGUCACACCGGAACUGAGACACGGUCCGGACUCCUACGGGA